rnacentral:lncRNA from 1 species
CAUAAAGGGCCCUCACUCAAUUUUCUUUCUAUAGUGCAAGGACUCACAUUUGUGAGGUGUCCCAUCUGUGUCUGCAGGAGUCACCCUGAAGUUGACAGGAAUAUGAGUCAAAUGGCAGAUUCGCUUUGCCCCUGCGUUUUCACAGAAGGCUCACUACUCUUAUGCUUUGGGCCCAUUAUUGAGUCAAGUAAGGGUUACUUGAACACAAGCACUGCGCCACUGCAGCAGCGACCUGAUCAAGGAGACGGCUACUGAGCACACAGCGUGGAUACACUGGACGAAGGGCUGACUCACGUGCCGGGCAGGACGGAGUAGGAUGGUGCAAGAUUUCACCAUGCUACUCAGAACAACGUGCAAUUUAAAACUUAUGAAGUGCUUGUUUCUGGAUUUUUCCAUGUAUAUUUUCAGACUGUGUUUGACUGAAACCAUGCAAAGCAAAACUGCAGAUAUGGGGGGGCUACUGUAAAUAGUUUUGUCAGAGAGGUGGGGGCAAAAGCCCAUGUUGGAGUGGGUUUAUACGUUUGAAAUAAGGUGAAUAAGCAUUCCCGAUGUUUUUUUUCAGUUCAAGAUUUUCUAAGUAGGUCAGACCUCGUGAGGCAGUGAUAUUACAGAGAUAAACAAGAUCCCUCAAAAGAGUUCAUAACCUAGAGAAAAACACUUAUCAGUAAAGUUUCAAAACUCAUCAUUAAAUAUAAAAAAUAGAGGGAUAGAUAUAGUGUUAGGGGAGCAAUGAAAAGAGAGCACUUAGCUCUUUGCUUUCGAUUUUCAAUUUUCAGGUAAGAAUUUUCUUAAAAUGUGCUGUUCUUGUAGGUGACAUAAGGACAGUGUAACCCACCAAGGAGAAACAGUAGGCAUGGCAUAUAGAAUUCCAGAAAGACUUCUGAUUCUAACACAAAUAAUAUAUCCUCUUCUUAUCAGCAAAUUAAGGUUAUACAGCUUAGACAGUGUUUGCAUAUGACAUCUCACCAGUGUUGGGCUCAAAAUAAAACAUAAUCUUCUUGGUCAUAUCCAGUGCCAAACCUGAACCCACUCACAGAAAACAGAUCAGACUCUGGGCAGGUUUUGUCAACUGACCCCCUUCCUUGUCCUGAUGGUUUAUUUUUCUCUCAGCAAACAGAGCUCUUCCUUUCAGCCUUUAAGAGAUUCCUAAACUUAAGUGGAAUCAGUGGCUGGGAUUUUCUUUCAAGUCAGUAUUGCCUCCAGCAAGGGCAUCCCUCAAAAUGGAUCUCAUCCUCCCUCUGUAGGAAUUCCUCACUCUUCAACUCUCCAGCUGCCUUUCCUGAUAGGGGGCCAGGAGAAGGUUAAUUGGUAAUUUCUCUUUGAAUAUGAAGCCUAUUUAGCUAAUUACUUGGUUUUUUGAUGUUAUUUUUAGAAGGCGG